GUCUAUGGGCGUACCUAGGCGAAAACACCAGUUCCUGUCGGAUCAUUGCAGCUAAGCAUCUGAGGGCCUGGCCUCGUUUGUACUAUGGUUGGAGACAACAUGGGAAUCCGGGGUGCUGUAGGCU
rnacentral:rRNA from 1 species